AUUUAUGUGACUGACCUUCAAUGAUUGGAGCAGGGAAACCUGAUGGUACAGGAUCAAGAAUGGGGACUUCAAAUAUUGGAAUGAGUUCAGUCGGAAUACCUAUAAGGGAGCUCUUAUCACAUCACUCUACUUCAGCAGAAAACAUGAGAAGUUUCCAGCGUAAGUAACUGAUACUGCUCCUUUUCCAAUUUGGAAGCAUAAACAUUUCAAUCAGUGACUAAUCACCUAUAAGGGAGCUCUUAUCACAUCACUCUACUUCAGCAGAAAACAUAAGAAGUUUCCAGCGUAAGUAACUGAUACUGCUCCUUUUCCAAUUUGGAAGCAUAAACAUUUCAAUCAGUGACUAAUCACCUAUAAGGGAGCUCUUAUCACAUCACUCUACUUCAGCAGAAAACAUAAGAAGUUUCCAGCGUAAGUAACUGAUACUGCUCCUUUUCCAAUUUGGAAGCAUAAACAUUUCAAUCAGUGACUAAUCACAAGAUAAUUGUGAUCAUAUCACCAACUGUAGCUCUUUUUCAUAUGAUCCACUCAAUCUGGCUCAUCUUAUUGACCACUGAGAGAAAAUCCUCUAGCUAGCUGACCAGUCUUCUUUACCUUUUUAGAUAAAUUGCUUAAACCCCCCAACCCCCCACGCCUUUUUUCCCUCUCUUUCUCUGAGUGCCAUUCUUUAGUCAAGUUAAUGUAGUCUCAAAUAUGACAACCCUUUUGGUCCUUAUCUGCAGUUACUAUGGCAGUGGUAGAACUUUUUUCAAUCUCUCCUCAUCUUAUCGAUCCAUCCUCAACAAGGAAUAUAUAUAUAACAUGCUGCAAGAAUUCUUUUACUGUUGUGUGCUAGGAUGAGGGGAAGAGGUUCUGGUCUGGUAGAGGGUUAAAACUUUUUUACCUUUUGUUCUGCCAAAUGACAUUAUACUUUCACUCAGCGUGAAUAUGCUUUGGCAAAUAUAACUAUGAGAGCAGGGAGAUACGACACCUUGGCUUGACAAUCAUUUUCUUUUCGAUAUGCAGAACUAGAGAAACUUCGCAUCCUCUUGAUUGUUUCAGGGUAUUAUGAUGCAGAGAAGAGCUUCAAGGUUUAGUGGCCUCCUCUUUGAAUGCUUGCUCUAAUUUUGAUGGAUCAAGUUGCUCGAUGUUGUGUCUGACAGAUUAUUCUACCUUUGUGUUAUACUGUUGCCUGGUGGCUUAUUAUUAAAUUUGUAUCUUGGAACAAUAUAAAUCUUUAUUUCUAAAUUCUCGUUGAGACUUAUUUUUAGCGGCUUAUUGAGUGAAGUUUUCCUUUUGUCUCAUUCAUAAAAGAAAAUUUCCAAUUUGUUUUCCAAUGCAGCUCUUCAUUCUGUCCUAUGCGCCGAGGGUCGCUUGGAAGCAGCCUCUCUGCCCUUUUGGGUAGGGGU
rnacentral:lncRNA from 1 species